AACGAACGCUGGCGGCAGGCCUAACACAUGCAAGUCGAGCGAGACCUUCGGGUCUAGCGGCGGACGGGUGAGUAACGCGUGGGAACGUACCCUUUUCUGCGGAAUAGCCUCGGGAAACUGAGAGUAAUACCGCAUACGCCCUUUUGGGGAAAGAUUUAUCGGAGAAGGAUCGGCCCGCGUUGGAUUAGGUAGUUGGUGGGGUAAUGGCCUACCAAGCCGACGAUCCAUAGCUGGUUUGAGAGGAUGAUCAGCCACACUGGGACUGAGACACGGCCCAGACUCCUACGGGAGGCAGCAGUGGGGAAUCUUAGACAAUGGGGGCAACCCUGAUCCAGCCAUGCCGCGUGAGUGAUGAAGGCCUUAGGGCUGUAAAGCUCUUUCAGCUGGGAAGAUAAUGACGGUACCAGCAGAAGAAGCCCCGGCUAACUCCGUGCCAGCCGCCGCCGUAAAAC
rnacentral:rRNA from 1 species